AGGGGGAUAACAGUUAGAAAUGACUGCUAAUACCGCAUAAGCGCACAGGACCGCAUGGUGUAGUGUGAAAACUCCGGUGGUAUGAGAUGGACCCGCGUCUGAUUAGGUAGUUGGUGGGGUAAAGGCCUACCAAGCCGACGAUCAGUAGCCGACCUGAGAGGGUGACCGGCCACAUUGGGACUGAGACACGGCCCAAACUCCUACGGGAGGCAGCAGUGGGGAAUAUUGCACAAUGGGGGAAACCCUGAUGCAGCGACGCCGCGUGAAGGAAGAAGUAUUUCGGUAUGUAAACUUCUAUCAGCAGGGAAGAAAAUGACGGUACCUGAGUAAGAAGCACCGGCUAAAUACGUGCCAGCAGCCGCGGUAAUACGUAUGGUGCAAGCGUUAUCCGGAUUUACUGGGUGUAAAGGGAGCGUAGACGGAUAGGCAAGUCUGGAGUGAAAACCCAGGGCUCAACCCUGGGACUGCUUUGGAAACUGCAGAUCUGGAGUGCCGGAGAGGUAAGCGGAAUUCCUAGUGUAGCGGUGAAAUGCGUAGAUAUUAGGAGGAACACCAGUGGCGAAGGCGGCUUACUGGACGGUGACUGACGUUGAGG
rnacentral:rRNA from 1 species